ensembl:lncRNA
CUUUGUGUUUUACUUAAGGUUAUAUUUUGGAAAUUGUUUCAAUAGCAACACCUACCGAGCUAACUUACUCUUUAUAACGGCUUCCGGGGUUCCGUGACUUGCGAACCUGAUCCCUGGGGAUGAACGCUUUGGCUGUGUUCGGUCUUUUGCUACAACCACAAUUCUCAUGAGUAUGCAUCCUUGCCGUGGGCUCUGGGAGCAGCACAUGACUUGUUUUGACCAAUGGAAUGUUAGCAAGUGCAGUAGCCCAGAUGGUGAAGAAUUGAACUUGUGCUCCUGUGCUUCUGCCAUCACCUUGGAAAGAACCUGCCAAGCUAGCCUGUGGUCCCAUGAGAUGGACGAGAGACGCAUGGAGCAGAGCUGGCCCGACUGGGUCCAGCCUAUAUCAGUUAACCCAGAGAGGCAUGAGCUAAACAAAUGCUAUUUCCGUAUGAGAUCCUGUGAUUGUUUCUUAGGCACUCCUACUGAAGCAAUAAUUAAUGACAUGGAAGCUGAUACCACUGGCAUAGAAAUGGGAUUCUGCAAUAACAGAAAGCUAAAAUAUAUGGCAUUGAGCUUUGAAACCGGACAGUAGGUGAAGGCUAGAAAAAUGGCAACUUGUGUUACAUAGUGGUGAGAUAUUUGGUAAAACUACAUCCAGCAGUAACUUGGAAGAUAGAAAAUAUAUGUAAUGAACUUGUGAACUUGGGCAGGAUGUUGAAAACAUGAGCUGACUUCUUUUACUGUAUGUGAGAUAAGAUACUAUAAAAAAAGAGACAAUCUUAGAAAAGAACUGAUCAAUUUGCACUCAGAAUUUAGAGAGAAUAAUAAAAUAAUUUCUUAUCUCUAGUCUCUCCCCCCCAUGUAAAUUCUCAAAUUAAAAUAUAGCCUAGACCAAACUAAAUUACAGCAUAGACCAAAUAUAGGAAGCUGCCAAUAUAGCAUGGGGGGCUCAGGAUAAAGACCACAACAAGAGUGUAACAGCCUCUGUUAGGACCUCUAGAAGAAUUAAGGUAGUGCUAGUAGAGCCCCUGACCUGGAUAAAAGAGAUCCUAGGGAUUUUAAACACAUAGUCCCUAGGGAAACCAGGGAAAUGCAUCUCUCACGUCUCCCACUGUAGGAGCAUAAUUGAAAAGCCCAGCUACCGCACUCUGAACUCCAUCCCCACUCUCACUCCGAGGCCACACUUGCCAGGGGCUGUUCCCAGCCAGUGAUGGAGCAUGGUGGGGAUUCCAAGCAGACCUGCACCUAGAAGACAUGGGACACCUCUGACAAGCUACUUUAGCUUGAACACUCCCCUGAAGCUUUGCUGGACUCUCUUAGAGCUUUACUGUGGACUGAGAUGCUGCCACCCAACCUUCCUUCCCCUCCUCUCACCUUCAACAGGCGACAGACCUAUAUUACAGGCUGACAGCCCUCCCAGCAUCCCUCAUGUCCCUCCCCAUUUUUUCUCAUACUAUCUUGGCAUCUGGUUCUCAAAGGACACUGCUAACACAAGUGGCCCCAGAAGUGGCCCGAGAAGAAAAAGAUGAGGAUUUGGGACUGGAUCCCACCCCGACUUUUGUUGGUAGAUGCUCAGAUUGCUAAAGAUUCAUCAGUAGUAUCCUGGGGAAUGUCCCAGUGGAGAAGAAUGCAGUGGCAUCUUAAAAAUAUGGGAAGAACGCUGCCUAUAAACACUGUAGUUUUGGCUAAUUACUGCUAAGUUAUACAGAUGCCCUGCAAAGGGACAGAGACUGAGGGCCACUAACAAUUAAUGGUGAAGUGUGAGAACUAGAGGGUCUCUGAAGAUACUCCCAACGAGGUCCUUAUCUCCUGCAGUGGAAGAACAAACACAGCUAAGUGGCAGGCUCAAUGUCUAACUGUUAGUCACAGAGCUCCACAAACAUUUAAAUACUCAGCCAAUGCAGAUUUCUUAUGCAAAAGAGAGAGCCUUGGAGGGCAAAACCUGGGACCCUGAAAUGUGAUACAGGGACUUCUGGACAGAAGAUGUUGACCCUGCAGACUUCCCAUCCUUCCAGAGCCUCUGGGCUUGCAGACAUGGCCUACCCUUCCCUACUAAGAGCUAGCACUUCGGUGAUGGACAAUGCUGCAAGGCCCUCUCCCUCACAAGGCAAUAUGUGCCCCCUUAGAAGCUGACCCCAUGCCCUCUCCUGGUUGCUAGGCCAAUAACCUGAGUUAAAUUUCAUAAGAACCCAACUGGAGACAUGCUGUGCCUGACAGGAGAGGAAAGAGACUAUACACUGAAGGAAUUACAAGAAUCAGACUGCAUGUCCCAGCAGAAGCCAGGGGAGUACUCCCGGGAUUGAGUUUGAAGGCGCUUGAUCAAAGCAGCCAGAAGGUCACCAGCGUCUCCCUCAAGUCCCGUCAGAGCGCCCCCGGAUGUCUCCGCAGGAAAACACAUUGGAACGUGGUUUAUGGUAACCUACUCAGCUGGACUGCCAUGACUCUGAGGUAACAGAGGGCCGGG